rnacentral:lncRNA from 10 species
AAGCAGAAAUCUGGCAGCUAGUGGAGUCUGAGUCCUUAUAUGGAAGGCAUCAUCAGUACCAGCAAGGACACACAUACAGCCACAAAGCAAGACCUAGGAGAAAUAUUUGGUGCUCUACUCUCCUAGGGAACUGGAAGGAACCUGCUCUCUCCUGGGUAUACUUUUCUAAUUUUAGAGUGCUAAAGAAGCUCUUCUCACAGGGACCCGAGUGAAUCCUUUCUCCUUGGAACAAAGGACAAGAAAAAAAGAAAGGACUUUACCGCAGAAAUGAUGAAGAUCAUGUCUCCAAGUCUUUUCUGCCGUUGCCAGUAUUCUCUCCCAAUCUCCUGUGGGCAACUUCUUCGGGAAAACACUCAUGCAAUUUCAUAAGGACAAGCGAAAAUAUGAAGAAGCUGGAUCUUGGAACUAGGCUUUGAUCACAGAGCGGAGCUGAGAUGAAAGUCCAUCCACUCAUUCAACAAAUAAUUGAAUGCCACAUUUUGUUGGAACUCAGAGUUAUGAGUGGCCCUCGCCAUACCUACACUUUCUGACUGAGCUCCUCUCUACCCUGAAUACAAGAGACCCUAAUAGGCAGGAAUAUCAUCACCCCUCUUCAGCCUGAAGAUGUUACAGAAGAUGGAUAUUUGUCCGUUUACAACCCUUAAGAUUAAGGGUUCCCCUGUAAAAGGGAGGGGGAAAAUAUGUCAGAGAUGUUUGAACCAGAGCAACUUCGUCCUGAAUAGUGGCUCGGUAAAGUGAGGCUGACACCUAUGGACUGCAUUCCCAGGAGGUUAGGCAUUCUUAGUUACGGGAUGAAAUAGGAGUUUGGCACAAGAUGGGUCAUAAAGACCUUGCUGAUAAAAGGAUGUGGUACAGAAGCUGGCCAAAACUCACCAAAAUCAAGAUGUGAUGAAAGUGACUUCUGGUAGUCCUCACUCCUCAUUACACUAAUUAUAAUGCAUUAGCAUGCUAAAAGACACGUUCACCAGCACCAUUAUGGUUUACAAAUGCCAUGGCAAUAUCAGCAAGUUACCCUAUAUGGUCUUAAAAGGGGAGGAACCCUCAGUUCUGGGAAUUGCCCACCACUUUCCCAGGAAACUCAUGAAUAAUCCACCCUUUAUUUAGCAAAUAAUCAAGAAAUAACUAUAAGUAUAAUCAGUUGAGCAGCCCAUGCCACUGCUCUGCCUGUGGAAUAGCCACUCUUUUAUUCCUUUACUUUUUUAAUAAACUUGUUUUCACUUUAC